UACAGAGGUCUCAAGCGUUGUUCGGAUUCAUUGGGCGUAAAGAGCUCGUAGGCGGUCUGUCGCGUCUGCUGUGAAAACUCAGGGCUUAACCCUGAGCUUGCAGUGGGUACGGGCAGACUAGAGUGCGGUAGGGGAGACUGGAAUUCCUGGUGUAGCGGUGAAAUGCACAGAUAUCAGGAGGAACGACCGGUGGCGAAGGCGGGUCACUGGGGCCGUAACUGACGCUGAGGAGCGAAAGCGUGGGGAGCGAACAGG
rnacentral:rRNA from 1 species